AUGUUAUGUUCGUUCAAUUCCUUUGAGCCAACUUCUUCUUUGUUCAACAACGCUGCAACCAAAACUCACCAUUCCAAUCCAUCUUCCCCGCUGGAACCGCCGACUAACACCACAAACAGCCCUACUUCAGCCUCAUCUUUUCAAACCUCUACUUUGCUUGUAUCAAGUCUAAAACCAAUCGUCCAAAUCCAAACAAAACUUAACUGA